rnacentral:misc_RNA from 1 species
GAAAUGCGAUAAGUAGUGUGAAUUGCAGAAUUCAGUGAAUCAUCGAAUCUUUGAACGCACAUUGCGCUUCCUGGUACUCCGGGGAGCAUGCCCGUUUCAGAAUCAUUAACAUCUCACAAAACUAGCUGGGCUGCGUCAUGCAGGCCGCUAGCAAUGUGGUUUUGGAUGCUUUUUGUGCUUCAUUGCACAAUCAUCAAAAAAUCAUUGUAUAUGCGCCAAUCUGGACAAAGAAUUGGUUAUCAACGUGCAACAGAGGUGUAAUACUCCAUUCAUGUUGAUGAUCGGGAUUUUAAUACAGUUGACGUAAUAUUCUCUCUUCAUUUUUUGAAGAACACCCCAACAAACAGUUCGAUGUGAUCAAUUGUGCUGUUUGAUAACUUGGUCUGAAAUCGGGCAAGAA